UUUUCACCCUUUUCUCAUUUUAUCGAAAAGCCAAGAGAAGUCUAGACAAGGAACUUGCCUAUGAAUUCCCAGCUGAUGAUCCUUGCAGAGGGAUUAUUGAAAGCUUUUUCCCCCACAUCUUUCUCUGGACCAUGCUCUUGCUGUGCAGCUUGGAGUAGCAGGUUGGGGCAGAUGAUGGAGCCUCCAGACCACUUCAAGAGCUGAAUUAUUUAUUCUUGGAAAUUCUGAGUGAAAUGAAACGUAAAAGUUGGCAUUUCAGAUAACACGCAAAUGACCACGUGGGUGCCAGGCAGCUCCAGGCAGUUCAAGUGCCCAGUGACAAAAAUGCCUUCAUUUCUCAAAGCUGGGAAAAAAGCAGUGGCAAAAACCCGACUUUCUCCAUGUGUUUGCUGAGCUCUGCCAGCUCAGCACCUCCUCAAAAAAAAAAGCAGAAGUUAAUCCCAAAGUACAAGAGCUCCUUGAGUCUCAGCAGCAUGGAGGCUGUUUCCAUGCCUGUGCUUUCCCUAGCAGAUUAUUCCCAACUCUCCAGGGCUCUUGAGGGCUCUUUGUAAUAACUGUGCCCUCCUCCAAGCUGUUUCUGAGCGGGGCUCUUUGAGGUAACACUUCACUUCCCCUGCAGAGCCGGCAGUAAAACCAACACCACCCACCAGCCCCAGUCCCACCUCUGCGGGUCAAACUACUACAGCCACACCCUCCAGCACCACCGACACUCCAACAACACUGCCAGCCUCAACUGUGCAAGAUGAUGAGUCUAGUGGAAACAGAAGCACAGCAGCUACUUCUCCAACACCUCAAGAUCAAGAGCCCACGAGAAGGGAGAGAACCACGACACCAGUGCCUCAAGGUGUUCCCUCCUCCCAGAGAGGCCCCUCAGAGCCUGUCACCCCCACGCUGAACUCCUCUGAGCCCACCCCGACAGACGAUGGAUCACCACUGACAGUGGCAGCUUUUGGU